CGUGUAGGCGGUCAGGUAAGUGGAAUGUGAAAUGCCCCGGCUCACCCGGGGACCGGCAUCCCAAACCUGCCUGGCUUGAGUAUGGGAGAGGAUGGAGGAAUUCCUGGUGUAGCGGUGAAAUGCGUAGAUAUCAGGAGGAACACCGGUGGCGAAGGCGUCCAUCUGGCCCAAUACUGACGCUGAGGCGCGAAAGCUGGGGAAGCAAACG
rnacentral:rRNA from 1 species